rnacentral:rRNA from 1 species
AUUGAACGCUGGCGGCAGGCCUAACACAUGCAAGUCGAGCGGUAGAGGGAAGCUUGCUUCCCUUGAGAGCGGCGGACGGGUGAGUAAUACCUGGGAAUCUGCCUGAUAGUGGGGGAUAACGUUCGGAAACGGACGCUAAUACCGCAUACGUCCUACGGGAGAAAGCAGGGGAUCUUCGGACCUUGCGCUAUCAGAUGAGCCCAGGUCGGAUUAGCUUGUUGGUGAGGUAACGGCUCACCAAGGCGACGAUCCGUAACUGGUCUGAGAGGAUGAUCAGUCACACUGGAACUGAGACACGGUCCAGACUCCUACGGGAGCAG